UGAAGUAGCUGUCGAAUCUAGACCACAAAAUCAUAGAAAAAAAGCUUACUUAGAAGAUUGGAGACCGUUUGCUACAAAUUUUGAUCACAGGCGAUAUUUUAACAGACCUAGUGUUAACUCCGAGUUCGAAGAUUCCUUACAUGAUGAUUCUGGAAUUUCGACA